UAAUAAAUGCCAGGAGGUCUCUGCUACAGUAUACACUACAGAAGCUUUCUCAGCACGGUGGAAGUAAUGGAAGUGGUAAUGAAAGCACAGGGCUGAUGAUAUCUUUUUACUCGACGUUAACAGAUGGAAGAGGAGUCGCCACAUGUCGAAAUGAGCCAACAAGUCACGACGGAUAACAGAAUCCUCGCUUGGUUUGCUUGUGAUUGGAUAAGUGGCAGAGAGCAUGAUCAACAGGCUCUCUCUUCCUCCGAUAAUUCCCAGCAGUGAAAUAAAAGAAUUCCAGGUGGAGCGCAUCACUCCUCGGUGAUGGAAGCUGGGGCCAUGAAAAUCCUCUGUCAUUGGCUAGUUAAUCUAGCAGGGUGAUUGUUCCCUGAUGACUGGUCGCCUUGUCACUCGUCGGGAGGAUGAAAGGAGCAUUUCCAUGUUAAGUGGAUGGCUCCCCAUUUACCGUCUUUGUGAUGAUUGCAAGUGCACCAGAACAACAAAAUUAAAACGGACAUUUUCCUUUUGCCGAGCUGAUUAAAAUUCACAAGUCUGUUUUUUGUUUUGUUUUUUUGUGUGUGUGGUGGGGGU